rnacentral:rRNA from 1 species
ACCUACGGGACGCAGCAGUGAGGGAUAUUGGUCAAUGGGGGAAACCCUGAACCAGCAACGCCGCGUGAGGGAAGACGGUUUUCGGAUUGUAAACCUCUGUCCUCUGUGAAGAUAAUGACGGUAGCAGAGGAGGAAGCUCCGGCUAACUACGUGCCAGCAGCCGCGGUAAUACGGAGGAUGCGAGCGUUAUCCGGAUUUAUUGGGUUUAAAGGGUGCGUAGGCGGAAUAUCAAGUCAGCGGUAAAAAUUCGGGGCUCAACCCCGUCGUGCCGUUGAAACUGAUGUUCUUGGGUGGGCGAGAAGUAU